UGGGGAAUAUUGGACAAUGGGCGAAAGCCUGAUCCAGCCAUGCCGCGUGUGUGAAGAAGGCCUUUUGGUUGUAAAGCACUUUAAGCGAGGAGGAGGCUACUUAGAUUAAUACUCGAGGAUAGUGGACGUUACUCGCAGAAUAAGCACCGGCUAACUCUGUGCCAGCAGCCGCGGUAAUACAGAGGGUGCGAGCGUUAAUCGGAUUUACUGGGCGUAAAGCGUGCGUAGGCGGCUUUUUAAGUCGGAUGUGAAAUCCCUGAGCUUAACUUAGGAAUUGCAUUCGAAACUGGGAAGCUAGAGUAUGGGAGAGGAUGGUAGAAUUCCAGGUGUAGCGGUGAAUUGCGUAGAGAUCUGGAGGAAUACCGAUGGCGAAGGCAGCCAUCUGGCCUAAUACUGACGCUGAGGUACGAAAGCAUGGGGAGCAAACAGG
rnacentral:rRNA from 1 species